UACAGAGGUCCCAAGCGUUGUUCGGAUUCACUGGGCGUAAAGCGUGCGCAGGCGGUUUUGUAAGUCUGUCGUGAAAUCCCCGGGCUCAACCUGGGAACUGCAUCUGUGACUGCAUCGCUGGAGUGCGGCAGAGGGGGAUGGAAUUCCGCGUGUAGCAGUGAAAUGCGUAGAUAUGCGGAGGAACACCGAUGGCGAAGGCAAUCCCCUGGGCCUGCACUGACGCUCAUGCACGAAAGCGUGGGGAGCAAACAGG
rnacentral:rRNA from 1 species